AGUGAACGCUGGCGGUAGGCCUAACACAUGCAAGUCGAACGGCAGCACAGUAAGAGCUUGCUCUUACGAGUGGCGAGUGGCGGACGGGUGAGGAAUACAUCGGAAUCUACUUUUUCGUGGGGGAUAACGUAGGGAAACUUACGCUAAUACCGCAUACGACCUACGGGUGAAAGCAGGGGAUCUUCGGACCUUGCGCGAUUGAAUGAGCCGAUGUCGGAUUAGCUAGUUGGCGGGGUAAAGGCCCACCAAGGCGACGAUCCGUAGCUGGUCUGAGAGGAUGAUUAGCCACACUGGAACUGAGACACGGUCCAGACUCCUACGGGAGGACGCAGUGGGGAAUAUUGGACAAUGGGCGAAAGCCUGAUCCAGCCAUACCGCGUGGGUGAAGAAGGCCUUCGGGUUGUAAAGCCCUUUUGUUGGGAAAGAAAAGCAGCAGGUUAAUACCCCGCUGUUCUGACGGUACCCAAAGAAUAAGCACCGGCUAACUUCGUG
rnacentral:rRNA from 1 species